AAUAUAUUGAACCGCAUGGUUCAAUGUUGAAAGACGGUUUCGGCUGUCACUUAUAGAUGGACCCGCGCCGUAUUAGCUAGUUGGUAAGGUAACGGCUUACCAAGGCAACGAUACGUAGCCGACCUGAGAGGGUGAUCGGCCACACUGGAACUGAGACACGGUCCAGACUCCUACGGGAGGCAGCAGUAGGGAAUCUUCCGCAAUGGGCGAAAGCCUGACGGAGCAACGCCGCGUGAGUGAUGAAGGUCUUAGGAUCGUAAAACUCUGUUGUUAGGGAAGAACAAAUUUGUUAGUAACUGAACAAGUCUUGACGGUACCUAACCAGAAAGCCACGGCUAACUACGUGCCAGCAGCCGCGGUAAUACGUAGGUGGCAAGCGUUAUCCGGAAUUAUUGGGCGUAAAGCGCGCGUAGGCGGUUUCUUAAGUCUGAUGUGAAAGCCCACGGCUCAACCGUGGAGGGUCAUUGGAAACUGGGGAACUUGAGUGCAGAAGAGGAGAGUGGAAUUCCAUGUGUAGCGGUGAAAUGCGCAGAGAUAUGGAGGAACACCAGUGGCGAAGGCGGCUCUCUGGUCUGUAACUGACGCUGAUGUGCGAAAGCGUGGGGAUCAAACAGGAUUAGAUACCCUGGUAGUCCACGCCGUAAAACGAUGAGUGCUAAGUGUUAGGGGGUUUCCGCCCCUUAGUGCUGCAGCUAACGCAUUAAGCACUCCGCCUGGGGAGUACGACCGCAAGGUUGAAACUCAAAGGAAUUGACGGGGACCCGCACAAGCGGUGGAGCAUGUGGUUUAAUUCGAAGCAACGCGAAGAACCUUACCAAAUCUUGACAUCCUUUGAUCGCUCUAGAGAUAGAGUUUUCCCCUUCGGGGGACAAAGUGACAGGUGGUGCAUGGUUGUCGUCAGCUCGUGUCGUGAGAUGUUGGGUUAAGUCCCGCAACGAGCGCAACCCUUAAGCUUAGUUGCCAUCAUUAAGUUGGGCACUCUAGGUUGACUGCCGGUGACAAACCGGAGGAAGGUGGGGAUGACGUCAAAUCAUCAUGCCCCUUAUGAUUUGGGCUACACACGUGCUACAAUGGAUAAUACAAAGGGCAGCGAACCCGCGAGGUCAAGCAAAUCCCAUAAAAUUAUUCUCAGUUCGGAUUGUAGUCUGCAACUCGACUACAUGAAGCUGGAAUCGCUAGUAAUCGUAGAUCAGCAUGCUACGGUGAAUACGUUCCCGGGUCUUGUACACACCGCCCGUCACACCACGAGAGUUUGUAACACCCGAAGCCGGUGGAGUAACCUUUUAUUAGGAGCUAGCCGUCGAAGGUGGGACAGAUGAUAGGGUGAAGUCGUAACAAGGUAACC
rnacentral:rRNA from 1 species